CCUACGGGAGGCAGCAGUGAGGAAUAUUGGUCAAUGGACGAGAGUCUGAACCAGCCAAGUAGCGUGAAGGAUGACUGCCCUAUGGGUUGUAAACUUCUUUUAUAUGGGAAUAAAACGUUCCACGUGUGGGAUUUUGUAUGUACCAUAUGAAUAAGGAUCGGCUAACUACGUGCCAGCAGCCGCGGUAAUACGGAGGAUCCGAGCGUAUCCGGAUUUAUUGGGUUUAAAGGGAGCGUAGGAGGAUUGUUAAGUCAGUUGUGAAAGUUUGCGGCUCAACCGUAAAAUUGCAGUUGAAACUGGCAGUCUUGAGUACAGUAGAGGUGGGCGGAAUUCGUGGUGUAGCGGUGAAAUGCUUAGAUAUCACGAAGAACUCCGAUUGCGAAGGCAGUUCACUGGACUGCAACUGACACUGAGGCUCGAAAGUGUGGGUAUCAAACAGGAUUAGAUACCCUUGUAGUC
rnacentral:rRNA from 1 species